rnacentral:lncRNA from 1 species
CAAUGCAGUUAAAAAAAAUACGGAUAAGAAUAAGAAAUAAAAGUAACAAAUAAUUAAAGUGCAGCAGUAAAAUAACAAUAGCGAGACUAUAUACAGAGGACCUGAGCUGUAGGACCAUGCCUCAGGACUACCUGGCCUGAUGACUCCUUGUUGUCCCCAGUCUACCCGGUGGUGCUGCUGCCCCAGUUUCAACUCUUCUGCCUGCGGCUAUGGAACCCUGACCUGUUCCCCGGACAUGCUACCUUGUCCCGGACCUGCUGUUUCGACUCUCUCUUUCUACCGCACCUGCUGUAUCUGACUCUGAAUGAUUGGCUAUGAAAAGCCAACUGGCAUUUACUCCUGUGGUGCUGACUGUAGCACCCUCUACAACCACUGUGAUUAUUAUUAUUUGACCCUGCUGGUCAUCUAUGAACGUUUGAACAUCUUGGCCAUCUACUAUUAUAAUCUCUACCCGGCAUAGCUAGAAGAGGACUGGCCACCCCUCAGAGCCUGGUUCCUCUCUAGGUUUCUUCCUAGGUUCCUGCCUUUCUAGGGAAUUUUAUUUGUGUCCCUGUCUUUGUCAAAGUGGGCACUGCUUAUCACAGGGCGGCAUCAGCUCUCACCUAAAAAGCUCAUAUGCCACUGGUUGAAAGAAAUUGUCAUUGUUUUUGGGCAGAAUUAUGUGAUGUUUUAUGUGUUGUUGGUGUGUCUUGGUCAGUUUAGCUCAGAAAAUG